UGGGCUUGAAAAGCAGUGGACCGGUUGUGAAAGCAGCCUUCUCUUCGGAGCCGCUGUACAGGUGCUGCAUGGCUGUCGUCAGCUCGUGCCGUGAGGUGUUGGGUUAAGUCUCGCAACGAGCGCAACCCCUACCAUUAGUUGCCAUCAGGUUAUGCUGGGCACUCUAAUGGGACUGCCUACGCAAGUAGUGAGGAAGGUGGGGAUGACGUCAAGUCAGCAUGGCCCUUACGCCCAGGGCUACACACGUGCUACAAUGGGUGCUACAAUGGGUUGCCAAGCCGCAAGGUGGAGCUAAUCCCUUAAAGGCAUCCUCAGUUCGGAUUGGAGUCUGCAACUCGACUCCAUGAAGC
rnacentral:rRNA from 1 species